rnacentral:rRNA from 1 species
GACAGAGGUGCCGAGCGUUAGGCGGAAUCACUGGGCUUAAAGCGUGUGUAGGCGGAUCGUUAAGUGCCUUGUGAAAUCCCACGGCUCACCCGUGGAACUGCUGGGCAUACUGGCGGUCUUGAGCCACCUAGGGGCAACCGGAACAAACGGUGGAGCGGUGAAAUGCGUAGAUAUCGUUUGGAACGCCAAUGGUGAAAACAGGUCGCUGGGGGUGUGCUGACGCUGAGACACGAAAGCCAGGGGAGCAAACGGG